GCAAGCCGUUGUUUUCCCUCACGGCGUCUCAGACUUAAAAUCUGCCGACUUCGGUCUUGCGGGUUCGACCCCCGCCGCUCGCACCA
rnacentral:tRNA from 1 species